ACAGACCCAGACUGUACGGCCGGCUAUAAAUGGCUCGGGCGGCUGUUGUGUGCGAGUCGGGGUUGGGCGAGUCUACUCACUGCAGCCUGGAUUCACGGGUCCACAUGUGUUAGGCGAGACCACCUCCUGUUGCACGGACUGUUUACCGACACAGCUGAGGAGGGUAUUCACGGCAUACAGGUCACUCUGCGUGGACAGUGGCUACUUUCCACAAACACGGACAGUUGUUUCGAGUAGGAAGUGUAUUUGGUGGUUAAACACCACACAGCGUUUCCAGUGUUUGACAGCUUCCGUAACUUGAAUAAUCUAAGUGCAGUCACCAUGACGUGGAGGAGUCUCUGGGCCCUGGUGCUGGGGCAGAACCCAGACAGCGAGUUCCUGGAACCCUACGCUGCCUCUCUCAUCUUCUUCCUCACCAACAUGGCUUCGGGGAUCGUCCUCCGUUCCCUCAACAAGGUCUUCUCUCCGAAAUGGGCUCAGGAGUACAUUGCUGACUUCCUGUCAACGAUGGAAGCGUGUGCCUAUUUCUUCGAGAACAAUUUCGUGUACAAGUAUUACGGCUCGUUCUGGCUUGGUAUCGCCAUUGUGGUCCAAUGUUUCAUCUGUGGCCGAACAUUCGAAGGAUCCUCGGAGAAUCCGGUCCAAGCGUUUUACAAGCUGGUGACUGGAGAAAUUAAAUUUCCGAAGGCAAUCUUAAAAAUAGUUAUUCAGAGUUUAGCAGGACUUGCUUCGUAUCGGUUCGCGCAGCUAGUGUGGUCACUGGAUUUGAUCUCGGACCAUCAUGAAAGAUAUUACGAGACCGAGUGUGCGUCUGACCUGAACGUGACCCUGACCUUCGGUUUCUUGAUAGAGAUGGCGGCGACGUUGUCAGAUAACUGGUUAUGUAUGCAGACGGUUUCACGGAUGUCGCUACUGGAUGAGUUAGUCAAGUAUGCAAAUGGAGCUAUCAUGAUUGUCGUCGGUAUGGCCACAACCGGCAUGUACUUCAACCCCGCCAUGGCGUCUGGGCACACGCUGGGCUGCAAGGGCACCGCCAUGUUGGAACACUUCCUGGUCUACUGGAUCGGACCAUUUGUCGGGUGCCUCGCCGCCAUUGUCCUGAACAAGGUGCUCCACGUGGACAUGUCUGAAGCUGCUCAGGCGGACAAGAGGAAGAAACUGGAAUAACUGUCACAUACGAAAAAAAGUAUUAGGUCAGGAAUUCCUGAAAAUUCAAUUUAUUUAGGGUUUGUCUUUCCAUCCUUGCACUUCCUCCACAAUAACGGAAUGUCAUCGUUAAGUUUUAUACUGUAACUAAUGAUGCACAAGUCAAUGGAGACAGUUACGUUGGUAGGAAUUGUCCUACAGUUACUGCUAGUUAUAAUAACCAAUGCGAGGAAGUAUCUCCGCGAAGUAAUGCUAAAAUUCCAUAUGGCCAAAAGAGUUCAGUUUUGUUCCCGACUACCAAUACACAAAACGAGUGGGUAACUAACAAGCCAUAUGUUUAGGUUCACGUUGUUGAACCCAGACGAGAUAGGGUAGUAUUGCAUCAACGGUUCCUGUACACAGCGGUUCGGUAGAUUUGCUACCAUCGUUGUCCAUAUUGUUACAUUGCGUCAAAAUCCCACUCACCCACUUGGUAUUACAAAAUACCAACAUUGAUAAAGAUGAGUAUCGAUUUCAACGAAGCGACGUGUAAAUCUGUACAUGAGACAACAAACUAUGUCAACGUGUCCUCUCAGGCAGGCUUUCCACACCGAGCGGCCGCCAGUACAUCUGUCGAUGAAUCACUAAUCCACGACAAGUACUGUCGCUGGCGCUACCUCCGUAGCGUUACAAUAAGCUUUAGAUAAACGAAAUACCUGUGCUACAUGUUGAGGCGAAAACUAAUGGUGUUAGCUGUCAAUCCUGACAAUGUUAUAUUGUAGACAUAGACCUAUAGACCGUUGGUAAGCCGUUGACCUCAGUAAUGUUGUCGUGUACACCCAACCAGGUGGACGUCCUUAAACCGUUGACGUUGACGAUGUUACGGCGUAGACACAAACAGGUCGACGAUGAUUAACCGUUGACGUUGACGAUGUUACGGCGUAGACACAAACAGGUGGACGUUGAUUAACCGUUACAGUGGCGAUUAAAUCAACGUUUGUAACGAGUGGGCAAUAAGUGAUCACCACAAUAACAGGUUCGAGAUGCCGCGGUCCUUAACGUAAUGUAACUAAUAUUGUACAUGGACCUCUCGAUACAGCGAAACAUUGACCACGAAGGAGUGUUAACUAUCGUUUAAGUUCGAAUUUCGGAUACAACGAACUGUUUGUGCAGAUCCCUUGGGACUGACAGGUUAGUUUCAAGGCCGUAGUUAACUUUUUUUGACAGGGAGGGUAAAUAUUUGUACAAGUAUCACUUGUCCCCAACUUGAUUCAAAUUAAACUGUUUUCUAUAAAAAAAUCCAGGGGGGGGGGCAACUGCUGGCCACUACGCCACUGAGUUUACAGUGCUGAACCGGCAUGUUCCAGUAGAGAGUUUACUGUUACCAUUCACAUUUCCGAGUGAUCUCUAGAUCUCACACUUAUUCCCUUGAGAUUAUAGCUUUAAUAUCUGUGUACAUUCCCAUUGGUACAUCCCCGUUCCUAUAUGGUGCUACAGAGACCAUAGGUUAUUUUACAUUGAACCUCGUGAAACCGGACGAUACCGAUACUGAUGCAUUGUGUGGAUUAACACAUGUCCGGAUUAACGAAUCUCCGGUACGCGGUGAUGUAUCUGGUUUUGUACAGUAGCUGUCCGGAGUGUUAGGUGUCCGGGAUAACGAGGUUCCACUGUAUUAUAUUUGAUGCACUAGCUGUGUAUUCACGUGUGCCUGCCCCCAUAUUUUCACAUAAUUGGUUUUAUUUCGAAGUUAAAACCAUUCAUUUUUACAUUCCGCUUCCUCAAUUGUUUUUGGGUGGCAUGGUUAGACCAACUAGAUAUUUAAAUCUCGAGAUUUGUGGACGAAAUGGUAUUGGAUCAGUAACAAAAUAUCGAGAAAGGCUAGGAUAGUCAUUAGGGCAUGACCUUAUCGUCAUCACUGCCUCUGUUGAACUAUUUACUGCAUCGGCUACGAUGUGUAUGUAACGGCGUGACGUCAUCCGACAGACGACAUUCUUAGCUUGUCAACUUGCUGACGGAGUUAACCUCUUUGGUCAUGUGGACAAGGCGUCCGGCCUCUGAUCAGAAGAUCCGUGGUUCGAAUCCCAUCACGGGACUCGGAGUCUUUAUGGCCGCUUCAUGUAGAAAUAAGCGAGGCACGUGGGAUGUGAUAAGCAAUACAAGCGGUAUGUUCAAUCUUACAAUCAUGUCGUGUACAAAUAACUUGAAGCACUUGUAAAAUGUCCCCGCUCUGUCCUCCCGGCCACUGGAUUGGCUUUGCGGGAAGAUCAUGUACUCUGCAGCCGCGGACUUCUGCAAUGUGACUUAUAUGGCAUAAAACAAUAUUUACUCACUAACACUUUGUCAGGCUCGCGGUAGAGUGGGCGUCUUGCAUACAUCACACCUACUGGCGCAGUUCACCGAGAAAAUAUACAGUGAUUUGUAUUCAUGAUUAUUUUGCAACAAAAGCGAUCGAUGACUAUUGUCAUGGGGGUGAGACUAUACACGCUGUUCAGUGCUAAUGAUUUCUGACAACAUAAAUAGACACUGAAAGAAGCUGCCUAACACUACAACGCCUACACCAGUUGACUCUUCAUCAUUCUAACCCGGGGGCGUUUGGUUGGAUGUUUAGGAGAGUGUUUUUUCGUCAUACGAAAUGACCGGGUUCCUUCCCCACAUGGGUACAAUGUGUGAAGUCCAUUUCCGGUGCUUAGGAGGAGGACAACUUUACUCACUCAUUCACUUUUAUAACCGCGUGCACUGACAUAAACUAUGGAAAAACUUGGUCCUUGAGUGUUUGGUCUACUCGCUCCGUCGAUGGCGGUAUGGUAGCCCAGUUUGUAAAGCGUUCGCUCGUCACGCCGAAGGCCCAGGUUCGAUUCCCCACAUGGGUACAAUGUUUAAGGGACAUUUGUGGUAUCCCCGGCUGUGAUAUUGCUGUAAUAUUGCUAGAAACGGGGUACACCGUACUACAAACAUAUUCUCUUACUCCAAGGCCUCCGUGGGGCUGUAGUAUCUAGUAAUCUCUAACCGAAGUGCCUGUCAUGAGACAAUCGGUUCGAGAGUAGCACCAGUAUUCCUUCACACUAACGUGCGGUGUUUAAUGUGAUAUUCAUGCUGUGGCGCAUACUUAGUAUUACCAUUUAUCAGCAUUUCACCCCAAAGUAUCAAUUGUAACUAUUGAGAGUUGUGCGGAUAUCCAACGUUCAGAUUAAAUUGCAUUUGAAGUUGGUGCGUAGAAAGGUAAGGCCAUCUCAAACACAAGUGUUUAUCACCUUUCUUGUUUUAAAUGGAUAAUGGUUUAUUUUUAAUUUUAUUUUUAAUUUCGAUUUUCCAACUACAGCUACGUUGGUACUAACUAAAACAAAUGACACCCCUUCAAUCCACCAAAAACCUCUGCUCCGACUGGUUUCUGGAUCCUCCGCGUGGUAUCGCUCCUCUUCCUUCCAAACCUGUCGCAGAAACGAACGGGAACCAGUCUACCCGAUUUGCAAACUCACAAACGACGUUAUAUUUACUAGUCAUCGGGACCGGUAACACUAAAAAGUGCAACUUCAGAAUGUUAAAAAACGAUAAUUUUCUAAAUAAUGUGGAACCGGAACCUCAUGCUACAUACGCAUAGAUGACUUUUUGAAUUUCGAAAGAAUAGGUUCGGGCAGAUUGCAGGGGCAGACUUUGAUGAGAAAUAAUAUAUUGUAUGUGGCCUUCUGCGGACCAUGGGUCCAGUGAUCCUUCAAAUCGUUGUCAUUUGAAUGUUUUUUCAUCUGCAAUGUGUUUUUUAUCGGAAUGUUUAACCGUUGCAUUGUUUACGCAGAAUUGUUAACAUUUUACCACAAUCUAGCCUUGUUAAUAAAACUGACAUUUAAUGGC
rnacentral:misc_RNA from 1 species